rnacentral:lncRNA from 1 species
UUUUGGCACGCAAAAAAGAUCGAAAGCGGAUUCUCAGGGUGUUUUUGAUGCUUUCUGAACGCCAUUAACCUCGACGCACUUUUUCGCUCGAAACAAAAUGGCAAGAAAAUCAUGUGGGUCCCACGGCCUCACACUUGGAUUGGCUGCAAAAAGGAUAUGUAGAAACGAGAGUGAUAUACUGACGGGUGCGAUCAUACCAGCACUAAUGCACCGGAUCCCAUCAGAACUCCGCAGUUAAGCGUGCUUGGGCGAGAGUAGUACUAGGAUGGGUGACCUCCCGGGAAGUCCUCGUGUUGCACCCCUUUUUAUUUUUUAAUUUUUUUUAAUGCAUCCUAAGACGAGUCUAAACUUGGAAACCUCAUAACUUUUGAACCGUGAGGAACUACGUCGCCCAUAGCACCAUUUCGGAAAGCCCCAGAAACCAUAAUGGGCGGUGAAUAGGCGGCGCCAAUUUUUCGGGCUCAAAUUCAGCCGUUUUGACCCUCAAACGGGCUGCGGAAAGUUUUGGCACGCAAAAAAGAUCGAAAGCGGAUUCUCAGGGUGUUUUUGAUGCUUUCUGAACGCCAUUAACCUCGACGCACUUUUUCGCUCGAAACAAAAUGGCAAGAAAAUCAUGUGGGUCCCACGGCCUCACACUUGGAUUGGCUGCGAAAAGGAUAUGUAGAAACGAGAGUGAUGUACUGACGGGUGCGAUCAUACCAGCACUAAUGCACCGGAUCCCAUCAGAACUCCGCAGUUAAGCGUGCUUGGGCGAGAGUAGUACUAGGAUGGGUGACCUCCCGGGAAGUCCUCGUGUUGCACCCCUUUUUAUUUUUUAAUUUUUUUUAAUGCAUCCUAAGACGAGUCUAAACUUGGAAACCUCAUAACUUUUGAACCGUGAGGAACUACGUCGCCCAUAGCACCAUUUCGGAAAGCCCCAGAAACCAUAAUGGGCGGUGAAUAGGCGGCGCCAAUUUUUCGGGCUCAAAUUCAGCCGUUUUGACCCUCAAACGGGCUGCGGAAAGUUUUGGCACGCAAAAAAGAUCGAAAGCGGAUUCUCAGGGUGUUUUUGAUGCUUUCUGAACGCCAUUAACCUCGACGCACUUUUUCGCUCGAAACAAAAUGGCAAGAAAAUCAUGUGGGUCCCACGGCCUCACACUUGGAUUGGCUGCGAAAAGGAUAUGUAGAAGCGAGAGUGAUGUACUGACGGGUGCGAUCAUACCAGCACUAAUGCACCGGAUCCCAUCAGAACUCCGCAGUUAAGCGUGCUAGAGUAGUGGGUGACCUCCCGGGAAGUCCUCGUGUUGCACCCCUUUUUAUUUUUUAAUUUUUUUUAAUGCAUCCUAAGACGAGUCUAAACUUGGAAACCUCAUAACUUUUGAACCGUGAGGAACUACGUCGCCCAUAGCAC